GCCUCACUUCGAGCACCAAGACGUUAGACACGAUGACACUGUGGAUUUUAAUAAGUCAGCUUGGAUUCUCAGUGGAAUAGCGGGACCUGAUGGUGCCUUUGGAAAGCAGUUUCAGAGGUAGCUGGUACCGGGGAGAGGAUGAACAUUGCAAAGUGCAUUCUCAUCUCGGGACAAGGCGGCGGAGUACAGGACCUUGAGCUCACCUCCUCUUAACCUGCAUUCUGCCACCGCUGAACCCAAGUGUGACGUCCUCCCGCCAUCCCCCGGUUCAUGGAGGUGGAGGCAGGUCCAGCUGGCAGGCCAGGUCUCCCAGGACAGACAUGGACUGGUUGGCGUGAGGCUCCAGGUUACUUCUUGAUUAAGAACGUCUAACCAUGAUCCUGGGCAGUCAUCAUCUAGUGUAUUGAGAGGUGACAAGUCUCAUCCAGCUGCAGACAUCCUGAGCUCUCCGGGGAAAUGAAGCAAAGGGCAUUGCAGAAAGAAGGAAUGCAGAAUAUUCCAUUUCCUGUUGGCUCACUACCAGGAUUCUGCAUCCUGUUCCAUUUUCAUUAAGGUUUGUUGCACAUGACCCAGUGCUUAAUUUUGUGAUGGGUGGGUGUGAAACCCAAAGUAUUUGAGGGGGAUUAGAUAUUGUUGACACUGCAUUGGGCGGGAGACUAACAAAUGCUUUCCUCCAUUCCUGUAGCUCAGUCGUUUCCCCAGGGAAAAGAGCAUUGCACGCUCUGGCCUGGAGUCCCAGCUCUGGGCAGACUCUGUGUAAGAGUUUCUCUUUACAGACUGAUCUAUGAUCCAUGACACCCUGUCUGCAGGACAGGCACAACACAGUGGCGAUACGGGACAAGAUCCGAACUUGCCCUAGGUAGAAUUACAAUUCUCCUUCCAGCCUUCCUAGCUAAUCCUCGGAUCAGAACACACUUGGAACGCUGAGAGAAAUAGGUAUAGCAAGAAACACAGUGGACCUGUUGGUUUCCAUGUCUGGAUCCAUAUGUAUGUCUAUGGAUGGAACAUUCUGGAAAAGUGACUCAACAUUUUUAUUGUCAAUUAUUAGAAGUCUAUUAUUUAACUAAAAAAAAAAAGUGCACACUUAAAACUCCUAG
ensembl:lncRNA